ACCCGCACAAGCAGCGGAGCGUGUGGUUUAAUUCGUUGCUAACACGAAGAACCUUACCUGGGUUUGACAUAUAGGUUGUAGGGAACUGAAAAGGGACCGACCCUUCGGGGAGCCUAUACAGGUGUUGCAUGGCUGUCGUCAGCUCGUGUCGUGAGAUGUUCGGUUAAGUCCGCUAACGAGCGCAACCCUCGUCGUAUGUUAUAUGUGUCAUACGAGACUGCCGGUAAAAAGCGGAGGAGGUGGGAUGAUGUCAAGUCAGCAUGGCCUUUAUAUCCUGGGCUACACACACGCUACAAUGGCCAACACAAUAGGUUGCUAAGCCGCGAGGUGGCGCCAAUCCAUAAAGUUGGUCUCAGUUCAGAUUGUAGGCUGCAACCCGCCUGCAUGAAGAUGGAGUUGCUAGUAACCGCAGGUCAGCUAUACUGCGGUGAAUACGUUCCCGGGGCUU
rnacentral:rRNA from 1 species